UUUUGCAUCUUUGAAUCUGAUUCUAUGAUCACAGAACNUUGAAGACCAUGGAGCACAUUGCCAGUCUUGGCUGGACUGUCCUACCACAUACACAUAACAGUUCGGGUUUGGGCCUUCUGACUUCCAUCUGUUCAGGCUGAAGAAUGCAAGACUGCAUGAGAAACAUUUUCCUAGCAACGAUGCCGUCAUAGUAGCCAUUAAACAGUGGGUCACCUCCACUGGUGCAGAUUUUUACAAGCAUAGCAUGCAAGGUCUAGGCCAACAGUUACGGGGCAGUUUUCUGCCCCAUAAGAGUCUCAAUGACUCCAAAGCCCCUUGGAAUGCAUGCCCAGUUGGUAAAUUAUCUUGUCUGUAAGAUGUGUAUCAUAUCUAAUCCAGUACUUCUGGCUUAAUACGUCCUAGCAAGAGGAUGACCUCUUUAGGACAUUCAUUCUUUGUCUUCUCAAUUGAGAUCAACACACCCAUAUUUAGAGGUGAACACUAAUCCAUUAAUUAUUUUAAAUCACAUUAAACUACAGUCAGACCAAUGAUUAUUUACCCCAGCAUUCUAUCUUUGAUGACAAGAGGAAGCUCAGGCAAACCUGGCCACCUCUUGUUGGCUUUUCCCUCUAGCUUCCUCGGCAUCCAGAACUGUAGGAGGGAUGUUGGUGGGCAUAUCCUUGUCAAGACCAGUUAGCAUCUGUCACAGUUUUGUGAUUUUGGUUUUCAGUANAAUUAAACUUAAGCAUUUUACAAAGAACAGAUCACCUUAAUGAUGCUACUUAGGAGACCUCACUGGCUGAACCUUGUGGCAACACGUUCCAUCAUGACCCAAGAAACCUCUGCCCCAAAGCAAGAUAAAGUAGACCCAGGUGUUUGCCAACAGCUAACAGAGAUUUGCAAAAAAGGAAUAGAAAAAAAAGACGAGCUUAAUGCCAUGGAGUUUUACAUCUCCUUGUCAAUUUGAAGCCUCAUGUGAGGGAAGUNUUCAUCAGGUGGAAAACGGUAGGUCAAGAUCAGUUUUGCAGAUGGUGCUCACGGUGUUCGCAAAGCACAGAUAACACCUCGACAAGACAUCAGAGGACAAACUCCAGAGAUGGCCUGCAGCAACCAUCAGUAAGGAGGGAGCUGUAGCAAGCCUCCAGGUGCCACUGUCACUGUGCGUGUCCCCAUGUAGCUGUAGCUACACAGAAGACAGUGCCUGGGCAUCUCAAAGUCAUCACCAGGGGAAAGAAAGUGGCACUACAGCACUGCCGUAGGAUGAACAGUCAACAUGAGCAUUCAGUCCUGGCCUAGAGAUCCCUCCUCCCACAUCCCAUGUGAGUGGUCUCUCUCUGCCCCAUAGCCCUACCUCACGCUCAGGGUGGGGGGGCAAUUUUCAAGUCUGUAGGCUGCUUCCCCCGAUGGGUCUCAGUGCAUGGGUGAGGGAACUGGUGAAGCCACCACAGGGCUGGAAGCAAGAAAUGGGAGAAGCAUGACAUUUCUGCAGACCGCUGACUUCCUCAGUGGGUUUUAGACCCACUGUAGAAAAGAGAAGACAAAAGAGAGAUGCUUGCCCUGUAGAGAUAGCUGAGCCACGACACCUUUCAGAAGGACUAUUCACUGCACUUGAAACAGAAGGAACUUAGAUCACUGAAGUUUGAUAAAACUGAACCAACCCUUAAUUUGAAGCAGUAUUUUGAAGCAGUAAAGUCCUGUAAGCUAUUCCCUACUCCCUACUCCGUUAAAAUAGUAGGCUAAGCACAAAAGCAGACAAGUCUCUCUGCACUUGAAGGUCCUUGUCCAGAUGCCUCCUCUCAGAUGCCCUCAGUUGACACACAGUGCUGUUGUGAACCACAUGCUUGCAAGCUGUAAUCACCAGAAGUGGACAGGUCUACCAAAAAACAUUGUCAUUUCUUUUUAAUGUUCUCAGCUAUUUCAGGUCUAAUCCAAAUGGGAUAUCAGCACGUGAUAGGAGAGGGACAAUUACUGAGCUAAACAUGUACCCUUUUCUGUUGCACACCAACUUUUCCAUAAAGUUCCUAGUAGCUUCCACAACAAUUCCAGCCACUGAGAGUUAAAACAGGGGCUUUCUCACUGGAAAAUAAAU
ensembl:lncRNA